rnacentral:tRNA from 1 species
GUCGAGGGGCGGGCGGGUACGGCCGCGCACGGCGUUCCGAGUGCCGCGCACGGCGUUCCGAAGCGCCGCGCACGGCGUUCCGGAGUGCCGCGCACGGCG